UUAAAAGUUUUAUUCUUGCUUAUUUAUUCAUUUUUUCUUUGUAUUAUAUACAAGUUUUGUAAGACUAAAAGUUCUUUUUGUAGUGAUUUAAUUUAAUUAUCAAGUAAUUUUGGAAUUAGCAAUUGAUUUAGUAUUGGCAUAUUUCGUGCCAGCAGCCGCGGUUAUACGAUUAAUGCAAGUGAAUAUAUUUGGUUAAAACAGUUAUUUUUUGAUUUUAGGAUUAAUUUAUAAAUUUUUAAGGUGAAAUUUUAAAUUUUUUUGUGAUUCUUAUUAUGAUUCUGUGAAACUUAAAUAAUAAACUAGGAUUAGAUACCCUAUUAUUUUAAGUGUUAAUUUUAUUUACCAGGGUAGUAUUAGUUAGGAUCUUUAAACCCAAAGAAUUUGGCGGUAUCUCAUUCCAUUUAGAAGAAUCUACCCCAUAAUUGAUAAUACACGAUUAACUUUACUUAAUUUAUUUGUUUGUAUGUCUCCAUUAUCAGAAAAUCUUUUUGGAGCUAUAAUUUUCUUGAUUAUUAAUUAUAAAAUAUUUCAGGUCAAGGUAUUGCUUAUAAUUAAGAGGAGGUGGGUUACAAUAAAUUUUAGUUUAUUACAUAUUCGAUAGUGAAGUACUAUCAAUGAAGGUCGAUUUAAUAGUAAUGUAAUUUUUUAUUUAAUUGAUAUUGGCUCUGGGGUGUGUACACAUCGCCCAUCACUCUCAUUAUUGAUUAAUCUAUUUUAAUUUAAAGUUAGUUUCAAUUUAGAUGAAAUAAGUCAGAACAUAGUAGAUGUACUGGAAAGUGUAUCUAGAAAGGUU
rnacentral:ncRNA from 1 species